GCUCUAACUUCGGAAGCAUAUAUACUAAAAUUGGAAUGAUACAGAGAAGAUUAGCAUGGACCCUGCAUAAGGUUGACAUCCAAAUCCAUGAAGUGUUCCAUAUUUUU
rfam:Myotis davidii contig29646, whole genome shotgun sequence.